AUAAUUGAUGCUACAAAGAAACAAGGAGGACCAGAAAGACACGAAGGUAC
rnacentral:sRNA from 1 species